UUCCGGUUUCGUCCCUCAGUUUCUUCAUGGUUUUUCUGCUUUAGUGGGAUUGUGCAGUAAAUUGGCCAUUUUGCCCUUCAUCAUAGGUGCUGCGCGUGCCUGCCUGUUUGCUUCUAAGCGAUGUUGACACGUUAGUCUGAUUCGAAGAGUUCUCCACCGUUCCUUUUCGUUUUUGGUGAGGAAGGUGCUCGAAGGCUCUUCAAUUUUCUUCCGUCGUUUUUUCCUUUCUUUCCUCUCUGUGCUUUUCUCCCUGCGUUAACCCUUCGUGUUUCCCUGCUUCUCUCGCCGCGUCAAUCAUCGAUCGUGUGUUGUGUGAAGAGUUUCUUUUUCCGGCUGAUUGUACUGUUUCAGGAAAAUUGGUGUGCGAAUUUUAGGGGUUUUUUGUACAACCUUGCAAACCCCUGAUUAAGGUCUG